AUGACCUGUGAUAAGUCUGACCAACUGUAAGUAUGAGAGUGUGCGUCGGGCUGCUCAGCAGUGUGGCUUACGGGAAGCAGGGGAGAAUGAUGAGUGGAACCUCUAUUGGACAGACUAUUCAGUCUCACUGGAUCGGGUAAUGGAAAUGAAAAGUUACCAGAAAAUCAACCACUUCCCUGGGAUGAGUGAAAUCUGUAGGAAGGAUUUGCUGGCCAGGAACAUGAGCAGGAUGCUGAAGCUCUUUCCAAAAGAAUUUAACUUCUUUCCCAGGACCUGGUGUCUUCCUGCUGACUACGGAGAUUUGCAGACCUAUAGCAGAUCAAGGAAACAUAAGACAUACAUCUGUAAGCCCGACUCCGGCUGUCAGGGGAGAGGCAUCUUCAUCACCAGAUCUGUGAAAGACAUAAAACCUGGAGAGGAUAUGAUCUGCCAGCUCUACAUCUCAAGGCCUUUUAUUAUUGAUCGUUUUAAGUUUGAUCUGAGGAUUUACGUGCUGGUGACAUCAUGUGACCCUCUGAGGAUAUUUGUCUAUAAUGAGGGCCUUGCACGUUUUGCUACAUCAGCCUACUCUGAUCCCUCACACAGUAAUCUGGAUGAUAUCUGCAUGCACCUGACUAAUUAUUCCAUUAACAAGCACAGUACUAAUUUUGUCCGAGAUGAAGAUUCUGGAAGUAAGAGGAAGCUCUCCACCUUUAAUAAGUACAUGCAGAAACAUGGCUAUGAUACCGACCAGAUGUGGCUGGAUAUAGAAGAUGUUAUUAUUAAAACCCUGAUAUCAGCACAUCCUAUUAUCAAACAUAACUAUCACACUUGCUUCCCCAACCACACUGUGGGUAGCGCUUGCUUUGAAAUAUUAGGAUUUGAUGUUCUGUUGGAUCACAAACUCAAACCUUGGUUGCUUGAGGUGAAUCACUCUCCAAGCUUCACCACUGACUCCUGGUUAGACAAAGAAGUAAAGGACCAGCUGCUGUAUGACACUUUGGUUCUGAUAAAUUUAGGGGCCUGUGACAAGAGAAAAAUCCUAGAAGAAGAGAAACAGCGAGGAAAGGAGAGACUCCUGAAGCAAUGCCGUUCUCGAGAGACCAGGGCUGAGGAGUAUAGGAACUGCCAGGCCACUUGGUUGAAACAAGCUGAGAAAUAUGAGGAGAAAAACAUAGGUGGUUUUCGCAGAAUUUACCCCAAAUCUGAUUUGGAGAAAUAUGAUAAGUUUUUCCAGCACAACAAUUCACUCUUUCAGGAGACUGCAGCUUCCAGGGCACGAGAAGAACAUGCUAGGCAGCAGCUACAGGAGCUGCGAAUGAAGCAUGAGCAAAAAACAGCCCAUUUGCGAGAGAAGAAGAUAGAGCUGCUGGGGGAGUCUGGAUCUGAGAAGAUAAAGACUUUCAAACAGAAGUUAGUGAGCAGGGCAGCUACAGCACAAGGAUUAAGACAGCAUUAUCUUUGUUCAGUGUCAGGACCUAGCGCUCCUCUCCUGCUUCACAGUUUCUCAGGUGAAAAAGAAACAAAAAAAGAAUUGGUUAACGGGGAAUCAGGCAUCCCACCAAAAGAGCACCCCAACACUCAUGAGUAUUCAAAUGCACCUGAAAAACAAGUGGUACAGCACUGCAGCUCCAUGCCAAACUUGACAGUGGAGAACUCAACUAGUGCCCCGGACCAGUACAACUCCAACCGUGACCUGAGGGACCGCACAGUACAUGGUCAUCACUCUGCAGCAGAUAUGGACAUCAGAUUAAUAAAAGUGCUUUCCACUCCAGGAGAAUCCAUCUGAGUAGCAGAAACUCCACAGACAAGAGACAAAUGCAACUUCAGAGUGCUCAAACAGUUUUCCAAAAAACAAAUUGUCACCAGUUCAGCCUUCAGGACCUUUUGGUGAUCUCCACCCCAGGUCAAGUGGACCCGCGACCUAGGAAAAACAAUACCCUAACUUCAGGGGAUAUUCUGACGGGCAGGAAUAGCAAUGAACUCCUGCAGUGAUCUGGGACAGGGAGGCAGAACACAGAAGGUACAUUCCAGAGAGAGAAAGGGCAGAUUCGAGGUUGCUACAGCAGGCCUGAGCAGAAUUGCGGCACUGUUUUGCCUCCUGAAGUCUGAGAGAUGCUCACUCCUGUAGACAAUCUGUUCAUCAGGAACUGACAGAAACAUUUUGUUGUUUCUUUUCAAAUAUACUCCUUGGUGAUUGCCUCCAGUUAUACAGCUUCCAUAGCAUGAAACAUCAAUGUGUCACCAAUGACAUUUGCAUUCAAAAAAAAAAAAGUCAGGAGUUUGUGGGUGUCUUGAUGUGAAACUGUUGUACUGGAACUUGAUGUACAUCUCCUCCCUUUGGCAGUGUCUGCUUACUGCCAACUCUUGUUUUAGUUUAGUGAAAAAUUAUUUUGUAAGAAGAAUUCCAGUGUGAUGUCUGCUCUAUUCAACUGAACAUCAGCCAUUAAGGGGAAAAUUCCGUGACUGAAUUUCAGCUGCACAACUCCUAAUAUCAGCUGGAAAUGCACAGCUGAAUCCUUGCAGCAUAAUUUGAAAUUUUACCCUGAAAUGUGCAGGACAUACUUAUUUUAGCUAAUGUAGAGUGAAGUUACAGUCCUGACUUUUAACAAGAGUUCAGAGGAAAUAAAAAUGAGUAGUGUAGUGUAGAGGGGAUUUUACUUUUCAGGGCCACAGAAAGCAAAGGCAGGAAGCUGAAACAAAAAGCACAAUAGGUACAGGCUGUGGCAGAGUAGUGAAGAUAUGUGAAGUAGCUUUCUAUAUUGGCAGAAGAAGUUUUCCAUUAAUGUAGUUAAUCCACCUCUCUGAGGGCUGGUAGCUAGGUGUACAGAAGUAUUCUUCCACUGAUCUAGCUGCGCCUACAUUGGAGAUUUGGUUGACCUCGCGACGACGCACAAGGCACAAAACUUUUCAUAACUCUGAGCGACGUAGCUACGUCAAUCUACAUUUUUAGGUGUAGAUUCCCCCAAACGUGAUGUUGCAGGUCUUUAAUGCUCUCAGAGAGUACUCUACCCUCAUAAAAAUGCCCUUCGUUGGCCCAGUCUCCAUCUGAUUAGUGGGGACAAGGUCUAAAAUCACUGAAAGAAGUUAAUUCAUUGAACGCGGCUGCUUCUUUUUCAAGUUGUGUUUCUGAACAUGCAUGUUUGAUAAUAAAAUUCGUAAUAGCAAUGGCUACUCAGAUCAUGCUGAAAGCCGUAAUACAGAGAGGAUGGAUGGCUGACUGGACAUAUGGAUGUGGUAUGGGACACAAGGAUCAGCAACAUAAGUACUGCUAGGUAGGAAAUGCAUUUGUCUAUUGGAGAUGUGCUAAGAUCUAUCACCUUCUCAUAAUGGAAAGUCUUUUAAAUAUUUGCAGUUGUGAACAAGGAUACCCCCCCAGCUCAUUAUUAAUUAUCAUAUAUAAUGCCAACAACACUCUGCAGAUCUGCAAGAAGGCUCUCGCCCUUCCCAGUGGGCUUUAUAGUUCAAGCAGUGAUUUCUACAAGCGUUGAUUUCAUUGGCAGUUUUACCCAAGUAAGGAAUGCAGGUUUAGGCCCUAAGUUCACAGGGCUAAAUCCUCUGGUCUAAACCACCUUCGAGUUUGCAGUGCUCUCCAGUGGGGCCUGCAGUGACCUCCAGCACAAGUUUAAAAAUCCCAAGAGCUGCUCUAAGUUGCAUCAGCUUGUAAUAGUCCCCAAGGAGCCUAUACACCUGUAAGGUUCAUUGGAGCACAGUGCAUUUAGGUCUUGCCCCGUACUUGGGGAGGCACGCGGGCCCUGGCAUAGAACCAGCUAGUCUAGCUUUAAACCAUCUGAGGAUUGCUCCACACCAAGGGAAUUCUCAGCCCCCUCAGCUUUAUACCAACUGAGGAUUUGUGCAGGCCAAGGGAAUCCCUACUGCACACUCAGUGGGUGCAGUUUUAAGAUCUCUUUGCACCAUGUUCCAAGAUUGGGCCCAUAGCAACCAUUUCCAAAUUAUUUCACACGUUUUCCUCAGUAGGAAUAGAAGUGUAAAUAAAAGGAACAAGAUUAUUUCUCCAGAACAGGGAGGAACUUAGCCUGAGCAAGUGAGAACUAGAUGAUAAUUACUAUUCAUUAUUUUACAGUGCCUAAAGAUGUGGUAGAGCUGAAUACAAGCAGAAAGAGAGAGAUUCCUGCUCAAAGAAUUUACAGUAUCGUAUUAGACAUGACAGAACAACUGGGUAUAUUUAAUAGUAUGGGAGGGUGGAGGUGAGGAAGAUCAAGAAUUCCAGCAACAAGACUUAGUUUCUUGAAUUAGGCUCAUGUAAUGGAAUUUCUACCAGCAGGAGGAAGAGGUUAUUUUCUUUAGUAGUUAAUAUUAUUAGAGAUUAUAGGCUCCUUUAUUGCGGGGUAUUACAGAAGGCUAUUUUAAGACUAUGUAGUCUCUUAAUGAUCUUUGAUCUUUUACAGUAUUAAAGGGAAUGUUUCAAGGGAGAAUAUUGAACUAUCUGAGAAACAGUGUUUCUGUUCUUACAAUUGGAAACGUUCAGAGGUGGUCCAAAGGGGGGAUCACUUUUUUAACUUCUAAUUCCCCCACUGCCACCCUUCCUUCGCACACGUUCAUGGUCUGAUCCAGAUUGAGAUAGUUGUAGGAAAAGAGGCUCCAAGGAAAUCAAGAAGGAACUUCUAGGCCAUGAUCUUUGCAACAAGCAGUUUCUUUGGAAUUGGAAACCUGUCUUCUACAUUAGGGUUCAUUGGGCUGUUGCUCAGGAACAGCAUCACUUCAAAGCAAUCUCUUCCUUAAAGGCAUCAACAAUAUGUAUUGAGGCCCUUCCCUCUGGGAGGGGCUUGAAUUUGCAUGGACUUUCAACAUGAUUAUAACAAUCAGGGCAGAGCUGGCUCUAAUUAAAUGUUAAAGAUGAAAUUGAAUGUUUUGGAAAAAAAUAUAUAUAUUAACCAUCACAUACCAUCCAGAGACUAGCGGUGGGCUUAAAAUGCACAAAUUAAAUACAUUUUUAAAACAAGAUCUUUGGAAAUCCCAUUUCCUUGGCAAGUUCCGAGUUUGAUUCCAGAUUUCCCCUGCAAACAGCACUUAAGGUCCCAAUCCAGCAAACAGGAGUUUUUGUGACAAUUGUCAUUCUUUUAGCUAUGGAUUUACCUCUCUUAUUUGGGAUAUGAAAUAAUUUUUAAUUUGUUUUUCCAAAAGCCUCUAAUUCAUCAUUAUCAGUACAGAAGCCCAGGACUAUAUGUUCCAAGCUGUGAAACCAUUUUAAAGAGAGCUGUUGAAUAAUAUUUAUCAGAUAAUUAUUUGUGAUUUUCCCCCCAUCAAUCAACAGAUAAAUGGUGUGGAUUUUUUCUCAAUGAUUUAACUAACUCUGAUCAUUAGCAACAGAUAGCUGUUAAGAUAUAAAAGCUACUAAUAGGGGCAUAUUAGAGACAUAGAUUUAGGGCUGCCACAUCUUUAACUACUUUGCAAUGAAUUACAUUUGAUUAGCUUUUAGGGACAAUGGAAAAAUUCUUUUAGGAGUGACAUAAAGCUAAGUAGUGCUGAGCCUAGGUAAUAAAUGCACCUUUGUUUAAUUGCUGGACAUUAAAAUACUCUUGAAACAUCCUCUCAAAAACACUUAUUGCCAUUACCUAACUAAAAUUAACCUGGGAAAUGACAAAAAUAGACCAGUCCUUCUCUUAACUAGCUGACAGAGACAAAGGAAUAUUUGCAGUUGAAAGAGCAAGUUCAGGGAGAUGCUUGGGGACAAAGGAUUACACAGCAAAAAAUGUAGUAUAAAACACAGCAUUUUUAUUUUAAGCCUGUAACUGCAUGGCAUACUGAGAAAGCUUGUAGGUGGUACCUGCUCGGUCAGCAGUGCUUUUGGCAUUUUUCUCCAUUUGUGCUCAUUAAAGGAUGGCUUGCUAAGGCUCUCUUUCCUUCAUCUGCUAGUUCUCUGUUAAUAUAUGGAUUUUUGAUGACGGUCCACCCCUUAUUUUGUGUUUAGAGACAAGUUUAUUAAUCUUAUUUAGGCCUAUGUGGCCAAUUAAGUAACUGGUCUGCCUACCCACAUCUGCCUUCUUUUUCUGUUCCUAAUGAAAAGCAAAACUAUCUUAUUCGCCACUCCUUGAAUUACCCACACACCCCACUAUCUUUUAAGAUGUUUUCAAGAUUGCAAGAAUUGCCUCUUUUUUAAAAAUCAUGCAUGUAGGGAAAGAAAUAACUCUCAGAGAAGAGCAUAACCUGAUGACCAUUAGAUUUGGGAUAAGAGCUCAAUCUGUCGAACUGGUGAGCCGUCGUCUUAAAUCAGCAAAGCCCCCAAAUACAGGAGUCAGCUGUUAAAAUUAAGCAUGUGCUGAAGUGCUCCGCUGGAUUGGGUCCAGUAUGCACUGCACUCUGUAGGGCCCUGUCUGAGGAUCCCACGUAGCCUGCCUUGUCCUUAAGACUUUGCUCUUGAGACACACAGGUUCAUCAGCAUCUGAGCCAAAGGAUGGGGAAGUUUUUCAACUGUGAAUGCUCUUCAGCAGCUCAAGUAGGGAAGCUGUCUUCACAAAAUGAGGAUGUUCUCAGCCUUUAGCAUUAAUUCCUCUUAUACUCUCCAACGGCGGUGAAUCAGAUGUGGGAGAGAAACUCACGGAUGUCAGAUUUGUUCACAAGUGCCUGAAUUCCCAUGCAUGUCAAAUGUAUAGCUUAUUUAAUACCAGAAAAAUUACAUUGUCUAUGUAAUAUCUAUACAAAAGUUAAUUGGCCUCUUAUUGCACCUCCUCGCCUGUCCGCCUCAGUAUAUUGCACUAUAUGAUUUUGCAAUUUAAAACAAUACACCUCUAAAAGCAAUGUUUUUAAAAGGCUCAAAGCCUGCAUUGAACAUCAAUGGGAAUUAACCCAAAUUGGGACUUUAGGCAUGUAAAUGCCUUUGAGGAUCUGGGUUUACUCCCUGACCUUCUCUGACAUUCCUUGCUUUCUGUCUUGGAUUUAAUUCCUAUUUUAGUCUGGGAUCCUUUCUGAGCCAAUACGCUCUCCCAUGCAAUGAGGAGGGGACAUUUUUUAGGCACUGAAAAAUCAAAGACCCCCCUACCUACACACACACACUCACUCACUUUUUUGGUGUGUUUAUUUAAACAGUAAGUAAUUGUCUACUAUGGUUAAAUAGACUGAGACAAAUGUAUCACUGCUGCUGUAAUUCCACUGACCUCAGCAGCAUUAAACCAAGGAUGAAUCUGGUCUAUGCCAUCAAUCAAAUGUUGAAGCAGGUGGAGUUACAGCUGUUCAGCCUGUGUGUGAGACAGAUGACAGAGUCUGAAUGUCGAGGAAAAAAACCUCCAAUACAGAGCCCACCUAAAACAUUAACCUUUUUAUUUUUUUAAUACAGACUGAUUCAAUGUAAUUUUGCUACCCUGAGUCUUUCCUAGUUCCUGUAUAAAAAAAUGUAUAGU